GAUGAACGCUGGCGGCGUGCCUAAUACAUGCAAGUCGAGCGAACAGACGAGGAUCUUGCUCCUCUGACGUUAGCGGCGGACGUGUGAGUAACACGUGGAUAACCUACCUAUAAGACUGGUAUAACUUCGGGAAACCGGAGCUAAUACCGGAUAAUAUAUUGAACCGCAUGGUUCAAUAGUGAAAUACGGUUUUGCUGUCACUUAUAGAUUGUUCCGCGCCGCAUUAGCUAGUUGGUAAGGUAACGGCUUACAAAGGCAACUAUGCGUAUCCGACCUGAGAGGGUGAGCGGCCACACGGGAAAUGAGACAAGGACAAGAAAACUACGGGAGGCAGCAGUAGGGAAUCGGACGCAAGGGGCGAAAGCAUGACGGAGCAAAGCCGCGUGAGUGAUGAAGGUCUUAGGAUCGUAAAACUCCGUUAUUAGGGAAGAACAAAUGUGGAAGUAACUAUGAACGUAUUGACGGUAACUAAUCAGAAAGCCACGGCUAACUACGUG
rnacentral:rRNA from 1 species